GACGAACGCUGGCGGCGUGCUUAACACAUGCAAGUCGAACGGAAAGGCCCCCUUGUGGGGUACUCGAGUGGCGAACGGGUGAGUAACACGUGAGUAACCUACCCUUGACUUUGGGAUAACUUCAGGAAACUGGGGCUAAUACCGGAUAGGAGCUCCUGCUGCAUGGUGGGGGUUGGAAAGUUUCGGCGGUUGGGGAUGGACUCGCGGCUUAUCAGCUUGUUGGUGGGGUAGUGGCUCACCAAGGCUUUGACGGGUAGCCGGCCUGAGAGGGUGACCGGCCACAUUGGAACUGAGAUACGGCCCAGACUCCUACGGGAGGCAGCAGUGGGGAAUAUUGCACAAUGGGCGGAAGCCGGAUGCAGCAACGCCGCGUGCGGGAUGACGGCCUUCGGGUUGUAAACCGCUUUCGCCUGUGACGAAGCGUGAGUGACGGUAAUGGGUAAAGAAGCACCGGCUAACUACGUG
rnacentral:rRNA from 1 species